UGGACAGAAACAAUGGACUUCCGG
rnacentral:siRNA from 1 species